rnacentral:lncRNA from 1 species
UUAAACAAAUCUCAUCUCAAAUUAAUAUUAUUAAAACCACAAAUUAUCUUAAUAGUUACACUUUACAAAAUUACUUCGGUCUACCAGAAAAACUAGGCGAGACCCGAAGCUCAGAAAAUUUACAACUAAUACAUUUACUAUUACUACUGCGGAGAAUCUAAGAUUUACCAAUUUACAUACCAAAUCAAAUACAUCACCCGAUGAUGAAGGAGUCGGGUUACUGAAUAAGAGUCGCGAGAGGACUAACAGUCACGAAUCUGAAAAACAGUAAAUGGAGACUGUCAGUCUCGAGAUUUAGUUAAAAUCAAAUAAUCUAGGGACUAUUGCUUCUUCUCAGAAAACAUAGAUUAUUCAAAUCAGUAUAUCAAACCAUACUAUAAUCAUACCCUACUAUUUCCUUCACAUAAAAUAUUAAUCAUUCGAAUCAAAAUAUCAACCAUGCACGUAAAUAC